CAUGUAGGCGGAUUGGACAGUUGAGGGUGAAAUCCCAGAGCUCAACUCUGGAACUGCCUUCAAUACUUCCAGUCUAGAGUCCGUAAGGGGGUGGUGGAAUUCCGAGUGUAGAGGUGAAAUUCGUAGAUAUUCGGAGGAACACCAGUUGGCGAAGGCGACCACCUGGUACGGUACUGACGCUGAGAUGCGAAAGCGUGGGGAGCAAACA
rnacentral:rRNA from 1 species